UACGGGGGGGGCAAGCGUUGUUCGGAAUUACUGGGCGUAAAGGGCUCGUAGGUGGCCAACUAAGUCAGACGUGAAAUCCCUCGGCUUAACCGGGGAACUGCGUCUGAUACUGGAUGGCUUGAGUUUGGGAGAGGGAUGCGGAAUUCCAGGUGUAGCGGUGAAAUGCGUAGAUAUCUGGAGGAACGCCGGUGGCGAAGGCGGCAUCCUGGACCAACACUGACACUGAGGAGCGAAAGCCAGGGGAGCAAACGGG
rnacentral:rRNA from 1 species